rnacentral:rRNA from 1 species
UACGUAGGGUGCGAGCGUUUGUCCGGAAUUAUUGGGCGUAAAGAGCUCGUAGGCGCCUGUCGCGUCGGAUGUGAAAGCCCGGGGCUUAACCCCGGGUCUGCAUUCGAUACGGGCAGGCUAGAGUGUGGUAGGGGAGAUCGGAAUUCCGUGUGAGCGGUGGAAUGCGUAGAGAUCGGGAAGAAUACCCGUGGCGAAGGCGGCCAGCUGGGCCAGGUCCGACACUGAGGCGCGAAAGCGUGGGGAGCAAACAGG